UACGUAGGGCGCAAGCGUUGUCCGGAAUUAUUGGGCGUAAAGAGCUCGUAGGCGGCCUGUUGCGUCCGCUGUGAAAUCCCGGGGCUCAACCCCGGGCCUGCAGUGGAUACGGGCUGGCUAGAGGCAGGCAGGGGAGAACGGAAUUCCUGGUGUAGCGGUGAAAUGCGUAGAUAUCAGGAGGAACACCUGUGGCGAAAGCGGCUCACUGGACCAUAACUGACGCUGAUGCACGAAAGCUAGGGGGGCAAACAGG
rnacentral:rRNA from 1 species